CCCACACAGAUGGGAUUUGGGCAUAGGUUUGGUUUCCCAGGGGGCAGUGCUGAGCUCUUUGCCAGUGGGAAAUGGGAUGCUGGUGAUUUCCAGUAGGUGACCUCACAGUGACUCAAGCUACCACUUACUGUUGAUUGUGACGAAAUGCCAGCUGAGGCACAUGCCUUGGGAGCUAAGUGGUUGCUGCCCUUGACCACUGUGAAGACUGGUGUGGGAAGGGUCGUUUUGGAUGCACUUGAGCAGGGGUCCCCAACCCCUGAGCCAUGGAGCCGCAAGGAGCCACACAGCAGGAGGUGAGCGGUGUCGAGUGAGGGAGUGAGGGAAGCUUCGUCUGUAUUUACAGCCACUCCCCUUUGCUCACAUUCCCACCUGAGCUCCACCUUCUCAGAUGAGCAGCAGCGUUAGAUUCUCAUAGGAGAACGCACCCUGUUGUGAACCGUGCAUGUGAGGGAUCUAGGUUGCGCUGUCCUUAUGAGAGUCUAAUACCUAUUGAUCUGUCACUUUCUCCCAUCACGCUCAGGUGGGAACAUCCAGUUGCGGGAAAACAAGCUUAACACGCCCACUGAUUCUACAUUAUGGGUCUCCCUCUGUUGUCCAAGGCUG
rnacentral:lncRNA from 10 species